UACGUAGGGGGCAAGCGUUGUCCGGAUUUAUUGGGCGUAAAGAGCGUGUAGGCGGUCAGGUAGGUCCGUUGUGAAAACUCGAGGCUCAACCUCGAGACGCCGAUGGAAACCAUCUGACUAGAGUCCGGAAGAGGAGAGUGGAAUUCCUGGUGUAGCGGUGAAAUGCGCAGAUAUCAGGAAGAACACCCGUGGCUAAGGCGGCUCUCUGGGACGUAACUGACGCUGAGACGCGAAAGCGUGGGGAGCAAACAGG
rnacentral:rRNA from 1 species